rnacentral:piRNA from 1 species
UCCAAUUGGUGUUUGAGCCAGAUAUUUCAGU